rnacentral:lncRNA from 1 species
GGGGGGGCGGCCCGGCCGCGCGCCGCAUGGAGGCGGCCGCCGCCGCCCCGGCGGAGGCCCCGGUACCGGCAGAGACCGUCCGCCGCUGGCUGCGGGCGGAGGGGGCCGACCCCGCCGCCUCGGCCGAGGAGCAGCUGGGCCUGGCCUGGCGGCUGCUGCGACGCGCCGAGGCCCGGCUGGGCGACCUGGAGCGGCGGAGGGCGGAGGAGAUGAGAGACGUGGAAAGCUACGUGGGCCACGUCCGCACCCUGACGGAGGAACGGGACGCUCUCACCACUGAAUAUGAAAUGGAAAACGAGCAGCUCAGGCUUGAGCUGCAGCAGCUGCAGCAGGAAGCCCAGCUGAAGGAGGUGGAGGAGAUGCUGGAACAGGAAGGCUUGUCUGAAAUAGCUCACAGUAAUGCCAGUGAACAGAUCGCUUACUUACUGGUAGAAAGAACGACGCUGCUGGAGAAACUGGAGAUGGCAGAGCAGAAGCUGAGUUCACCCAGCUGCAUCGACGAGCUGUGUGCGGCACCGCUUCAGGAUGAGUUUGAUCACAUUCACCCGAUGUUAGAAGAUGAACUCCAACAGCAGCGUGAAUCCACGCAGCUUCCUGGAGAGACAAUGAGUAAGCUCUACAGGGAAGAGCUGGAGAAGGAGCAAGCAUCGCGUGCAAGAGUUGAACAAGAUCUGGUUGAGGCCACACAGAGGCUGCUGAUGGCCCAGGAAGAGAUCCGGAGGUUGGCAGAGGAGCUGGAGCAGAGCAAAAUAGGCAAGUGCUUCUCUUGUGGCCACUCCUAAUGACUGGCCUGCACUUAGCCCACCCCUCGUUGGUGUCUGCCUUGGACUUCUCACCCAGGGGAGCUGGAGAUGGGCUCCUCUCUGCGUGUAAUGUGAAAAAAUCAGUGUCAGAUGUUAGCCUGGUGCCUUGGAGAUCUGAAUGCAGUCAUCAACAGCCACAAAUCAAUUAAUUCUGAGUGAGGAAGGCUGAGAUGUGGGGUUACCGGAUCCAUGAUUACAACAGUGGUGUCUUGACUGACAUCUUCUCCCUGGCUCAUAUCAGGGAGGAAUUUGUGCCCUGGGAGGGGAUGGAGAGGAAAUGAUGACUUGGUCCAGAAACAGUAGCUAAAAUACUGUGUGCGCAGCGUGAGCCCAGCUGGAGCACUCACCUCGAGGUUCUGCAGGUGUUCUGUUCGGGAUGCUCCCUCGUUAUGAGGGAUAUCCUCAUUAUGCUCCUAACCGGAGCUUAUCAGUAGUCCUGAAGUGACUGGUUGGAUUCUUAUCACUGCCAGUAUUUGCUUAACCUCCUUAUUGAAAUAACUGUUGUUGACAAGCUCUCAAGUAUUAUUUUUAAAAAAAAUACUGACUGUAAAAAUAAACAGUUUUCUGGAGGGAAAUCA